rnacentral:rRNA from 1 species
UACGUAGGGGGCUAGCGUUGUCCGGAAUCAUUGGGCGUAAAGAGCGCGUAGGCGGCCAGAUAAGUCCGGUGUGAAAGUCACAGGCUCAACCUGUGAAUGCCGCUGGAAACUGUCUGGCUAGAGUCCGGGAGGGGCGAGUGGAAUUCCUGGUGUAGCGGUGAAAUGCGCAGAUAUCAGGAGGAACACCAAUGGCGAAGGCAGCUCGCUGGAACGGUACUGACGCGUGGAGGCGACGAAAGCGUGGGGAGCAAACAGG